AUACGUAGGGGGCGAGCGUUGUCCGGAAUGAUUGGGCGUAAAGGGCGCGUAGGCGGCUUUGCAAGUCAGUAGUGGAAGUCCAUUUUUCAAGGAUGGAAGUGCUACAGAAACUGCGGAGCUUGAGUGCAGGAGAGGUUAUCGGAAUUCCCGGUGUAGCGGUGAAAUGCGUAGAGCUCGGGAGGAACACCAGUGGCGAAGGCGGGUAACUGGACUGCAACUGACGCUGAGGCGCGAAAGUGUGGGGAGCAAACAGGAUUAGAUACCCUGGUAGUCCACACUGUAAACGAUGAAUGCUAGGUGUGGGAGGUAUCGACCCCUUCUGUGCCGCAGUAAACACAGUAAGCAUUCCGCCUGGGGAGUACGGUCGCAAGAUUAAAACUCAAAGGAAUUGACGGGG
rnacentral:rRNA from 1 species